AACGAACGCUGGCGGCGUGCUUAACACAUGCAAGUCGCGUGCGCAGUUCCCGUAGCAAUACGGGGAUGGGCGCACGGCGCACGGGUGCGUAACACGUGGGCAAUCUGCCCUCCGAUGGGGAAUAACCCCGCGAAAGCGGGGCUAAUUCCGCAUAACAUUCCGGGGACUUCGGUUCCUGGAUUCAAAGCAGUGAUGCGUCGGAGGAGGAGCCCGCGCCCGAUUAGCUAGUUGGUGAGGUAACGGCUCACCAAGGCAAUGAUCGGUAGCUGG
rnacentral:rRNA from 1 species